AGUCUAAUUCGUAGUUCCUCUGGU
rnacentral:siRNA from 1 species